AUGGACCUGCCCUGGGUGUUUACAGAUGCAUCUGAACACACAUUCUCAUCUAGAAAAGAGAAAGACCCGUCCUGUAAGGCAGUUCUUCUGGCUGUCCUUAGUGUCUCUCUGCUGGUGGCUCUGCUGGCUGUGUGUGUACUGGGAAUUAUCUAUUCCCAACUACUGAGGUCAUCUGAUUUGUUAAAAGAGCAAAACAGAAAUGCUGCAGUGAACAUUGAAAUACAGGAGCAAAAUGCCACAGACAGCCCAUUUGAAAGGAUAAAGUACUACUAUUUCUCUUCAGAAAAACUGAGCUGGAUGGAAAGUCGAGAUUAAUGUACGAAAACUGGAGGUCAGCUGGUCACAAUAAUAGGCAAAGAUGAUCAGUAUAAUUUGGCCUCAAUAAAGCUGAAAGAGGCACAUUGGAUUGGACUACA
ensembl:lncRNA